UACGGAGGGUGCAAGCGUUAUCCGGAUUCACUGGGUUUAAAGGGUGCGUAGGUGGAGUGGUAAGUCAGUGGUGAAAUCUCCAAGCUUAACUUGGAACUGCCGUGAUUACUAUCAUUCUUGAAUAUCGUGGAGGUAAGCGGAAUAUGUCAUGUAGCGGUGAAAUGCUUAGAUAUGACAUAGAACACCGAUUGCGAAGGCAGCUUACUACACGAUCAUUGACACUGAGGCACGAAAGCGUGGGGAUCAAACAGG
rnacentral:rRNA from 1 species